rnacentral:rRNA from 1 species
GAUGAACGCUAGCGGCAGGCUUAAUACAUGCAAGUCGAGGGGCAGCAUGAUUGUAGCAAUACAAUUGAUGGCGACCGGCAAACGGGUGCGGAACACGUACACAACCUUCCAACAAGUGGGGGAUAGCCCAGAGAAAUUUGGAUUAGUACCCCGUAACAUAGCGAUGUGGCAUCACAUUGCUAUUAUAGCUUCGGCGCUAGAUGAUGGGUGUGCGUAUGAUUAGAUAGUUGGCGAGGUAACGGCUCACCAAGUCUACGAUCAUUAGCUGAUGUGAGAGCAUGAUCAGCCACACGGGCACUGGGACCCGGGCCCGACUCCUACGGGAGGCAGCAGUAAGGAAUAUUGGUCAAUGGACGAAAGUCUGAACCAGCCAUGCCGCGUGAAGGAUUAAGGUCCUCUGGAUUGUAAACUUCUUUUAUAUGGGACGAAAAAAGGUCUUUCUAGAUCACUUGACGGUACCAUAUGAAUAAGCACCGGCUAACUCCGUGCCAGCAGCCGCCGUAAUAC